rnacentral:misc_RNA from 1 species
GGGGAGCUCUGGGCUGGUAAUCCGGCAAGGUUUGUUCGAAAGCUGACCCAUGAGGAGACCCUAGAGAUACCAAAACUUGCUGUGGCCAUCAAUGAUCUGAUGCAGAGCCAUUUCUCCGAGUUCCUUCCGUAUUCCACUAUUUAUUUGGAGGUAGAGAAGGUGAAGAAGACCUUGUCAAUCCCCUUGUGAAAGAAUUUUUUCAGUGUCCUUGGAGGAACUAAGGAUCCUUCGUGUGGCGGAUGUUGACGAUUAUGGCAAACUGAAGGGGGGAGUCUUUCCUUCUCUUCCC